UUAUUCCUGCCUGAUUCGUGGUGAAGUCUGCCCGUGUUUUGAACCAACACUUUUUAUAAGGGAACUAUAUUUGAAGGUGGCUUGCAGGCCUCCCAUUGAAGGAGGAGCGAUUUAAGCCUUCAAGCGGUAACCCACCUGAUUAACCAGGUUUAAAAACGCAGAAAAACAGCGGUCCGGCGGGUAAUUA
rnacentral:other from 1 species